CCCGAGCAGCCAUGCGGGCGUGAGGACCAGGCAGAGCCUCCGGGGGAGGGAUGUAACUUAUCAAGCUUAUGCCUGGGUCCUAGAUUCCUCCCUGGCACUGCCAAAAAGGAAACAGAACAAAACCACGCUGGGUCAACACCACCCUGCUGCUGACUAGUGAGCUGACCGGACAGCAGAGCUCAGAAGGCAAAGUCAUAAAUGGAGUUGCUGGUCUGUGUGUGUGGAAGCCAGGAGGCAGUGGAGUCUCUGAGCUGGAAGCGAUGAAGCUGUGAGCCACCUGUUACGUGUGGAGUCCUCUGCAAAAGCAACACGUACGUUUAACCAGAGCCACGUCUCCGCUUCUUGGCUGUGUGCGUUUUGUUUUUGCACUACCUCUCUGUGCCAGAGGAAGCCAGAAGAGGGUGUCAGAAUCUCUGAGACUGGAUUUACAGUUGUAUGAAACCGUGAGUGCUGGGAAUUGACCCAGAAUCCUCUGGAAGAAUCUUUCCAGCUGAGCCAUCUCCCCAACCCCUGCUUCUCGAUAACCCUAAUCAAAAGUUUAAUACUGGAAGUCAGCAGUGCGAGCCUGGAACUCCCAUCCUGAGUUUCUCCCUGAGAGAAGGUGGUUCAGCUGCAGAAGCCUCAAUCUGCUAAAGAGCCUGUCCCUGCUGCCUCUUAAAGCCAAAAUCUUGGGACACUCGGUGGCAAAAUGUCCUGAUAUUAAAGUGUCAGCCAUUCUUCAAGAUGGGGAUCUGACACCUUCUGGCAACAGGCAUUCAUAUGUUUCACAGACCUAAGUGCAGGACCUGAGCAGUCAUUUCUGUGAAGACGCAACAGCCCUGUCAGCUAGCUGACCACAUUGGGGCAGAUGGCAAGUGUGAAGAGAGGGUCAGCGUGGGAAUAAGUCAGUGCCCUGGCCGGAUGGCUGUGGCUGUGGCCCUGGGGAUGUUACAUACAGGAAGGGUGUGUGCAUCUCACACUUGCCUUGAUCAAUCCUAUAUGCCUCUCGGCUGCACACACCUUUCUGAGAUAGGCAUCCAUACACAUAAAAGAAAAACCAAUAAAUUAAUGAGAGAGAAUUCACUGAAUAUUAGUGGCUUCUACUUGUAAUCCCAGGACUUGAAACCUCAACCUUCAAAUAGUGGGACUACAUAAAUUGUCAUAAGCCUGAAGCCAGCCCUCACUAAAGUGGCCCUAUCUCAAAACCAAAACUCAAAACCCCCAAAGAAAAAAAGGAGGGCAGGGAUGUAGUUCAGCUGGCACCUGCCUAGGACCCAGAGCACAGGGUAAGUGGCAAUUGGGAAGUAGAGGUGGGAAAAACAGGAAACCGAGUGUAUUUGGCUAGAAAGCAAAUUCUGCAUCUGCUUGGGACUAAAUGAGAGUCUCAAAUGAAAAACCCAAACCAAAUCAAUCAAGCUAAGAAGGACCCAUAGGAGCUGAAAGCCAGGGCAGAAGGGAGCCUUGGUUGGCUGAAAGGCAGAAAGAAAGAAGGGCGAUGGAUCUGGAAAAGCACAUCAAAGUUAGAGAUGCAUACAAACUCUCUUUAAGCAACUUUCCAGGCAGGGUCCAAGGCCUGCGUGCUUCCAGAGUGGCCCUGCAAGACCCCACGUCAGCUAGGAUUCCAAUCCCCCAGACCCAGUGAACCCAGUCUUAUGUUACUGGGAUACCCUAAUGACACAGGUAUACAGUCAAGGUCUCCGACCACUAUUCUGGCUGGCUUUCAAUCUUGAGUGCAUCAUGAAACUCAGUCUCUUUAAGGCAGGUUUUGUAUAACCCAGAAACCCAGUAAGAGGCUGUCCAGACCGGCAGGAGCUUGUUUGUUGACUGUUGCAGAAGCUGAUGGGCUAUCAUGUAUUAGUAGACUUAGAUAGAAAGGGAUUACAGUUUUGAUGUGUCAGGGCUAGUGCAGAGAAAAUGGGAAGCUCACCUGGACAGAGACUAAUCAGAGACAGAGCAGGAGGCCUAGAUCAGGGUGGACAAUAAGGAAGUUCCUCAGCUUUGCUGUUUCUUCCCAGGCAUAGAACAGAAGACAUCUGUUACCAUUUAGCCAGCAACAUAAUCUGGAUUCCAUAGUUCUUCAGGAGAUAGUAGUGCUAUCUAUCUAUCCACUAGGUACGAAGGCAAAAUUCAGCUCAGAUCAGAAAGGAGUAAAGCCCUAGAUUUGAUGCCAGGCCCUUCCUCUAUGGGAGUGCUCUUAAAACUCUGCAGCACAUCACCACAGGGGUGUCUCAUAUCAGGGGGCCCGACCCUUCAUGGAUUGAUCAGACAGAAUGAGGGAGGUGUCAGAACCUACAUUUUAAACAGUUCUAGGUGAUGUUUAUUUGUUCAUAAUAUCGGUCCCCAUCUCACAGACACAACAGGUCAGAACUGGCCUGUGCAUUGAUGUCUGUCCAAGGCAAAUGGUGUGACUACACCAAGAACCACCCUGCUGCAGUCUUCACCCCCUUCGCCUCUGGCUAAGGACUGUUCUCUUCCAGUACCUUACUGUAGGCCAGUUCCCUGCAAUGUUUUCCCCUCUUUACUAACUCUGAGUAAAGGACAGUAGUCUUUCCCUUUAUAUUCUGAAUGAGCAGGCAAAGUACCAGACAGAUGCUGCCCAUCAGUCUGCCUUACCUCAAGUGGAUUCAGCAAACUACACCAAAUACAUGGGGGAGGGGAGGGAGGAUUCUGUGCUGAGUAUGCACAUUUUCUCUUGUCAAAGUACCAAAUAGUACAGCUUAACAACUAGACACUUAGAGAUAACAAUACACAGGAACAUGUGCAUGGAUGAUAUGCAGGUAACAGGUAUACAGGGGAUAAAGUACACAGGGGACUUUAGCACUAGGACUUAGCACAGAGUCCUGAACCAAUCCCUCUGGGCACCAAGGGCAGCUGUACUUACUGACAAGGUGGUUAGGAGUCACUCCGCAGGCCAGGCUGCGCUGGAUCUUGUCUUUGCCUUCCUAUAAAGACUUAACUCCUUCCUACAGUUAAGACUCUUGAUACAAUCUGAGGAGCUGGCUUCACUGCUUCAAACAACUCUGUCUAGCUUUAACUGGCCAGACUAGGACGACUGGUCCUAUGUGGGCAGAAAUGAGCUGACAGGAUUCUAGGAGCAAGUUGUGGUUUUCCACUCCUCAUAUGGUCUCAAGACACCUGAAUUAAAAUUCGUGUCAUGGAGGCAGAGGGGCAGGGACUCCAACAUACAAUAGCUCAAUCUGGGCAUUUCCCAGCUGCCUUCUUGGCUGCUCCUGCAUAGUUCACUUUGCACUGAAAGCUUUUGCUAAAGCUGCCUCAGGAAACUAGAGGAGUGAGCCCUGUCAGCACAAAGGAGACUGAAACAAAUGCACAAACACUGUCCUUUCAAAAGCUCAAGGAACGGAAUCCAGGGCAACAGAUGAGCAAGGCCAAACUACCAGAGCGAAGUGGGGGGUGAGGACAGUGAAGUCUGGGCAGGCAGGCAGUGGCAGCAUCGGUGCUCAGGGCUCGGCUACCCUUGGCCGAGCUGGGUUUACAGCCACCCAGGAGAAAAGAGGCACAGCCAUAGCCACCACAUA